rnacentral:rRNA from 1 species
UGGGGAAUUUUGGACAAUGGGGGAAACCCUGAUCCAGCCAUCCCGCGUGUGCGAUGAAGGCCUUCGGGUUGUAAAGCACUUUUGGCAGGAAAGAAACGUCAUGGGUUAAUACCCCGUGAAACUGACGGUACCUGCAGAAUAAGCACCGGCUAACUACGUGCCAGCAGCCGCGGUAAUACGUAGGGUGCAAGCGUUAAUCGGAAUUACUGGGCGUAAAGCGUGCGCAGGCGGUUCGGAAAGAAAGAUGUGAAAUCCCAGAGCUCAACUUUGGAACUGCAUUUUUAACUGCCGGGCUAGAGUGUGUCAGAGGGGGGUGGAAUUCCGCGUGUAGCAGUGGGAUGCGUAGAUAUGCGGAGGAACACCGGUGGCGAAGGCAGCCUCCUGGGAUAACACUGACGCUCAUGCACGAAAGCGUGGGGAGCAAACAGG